UAGAUGCGAGAGUAGAGCAUAUCAAUAAGCGGAGGAAAAGAAACUAACAAGGAUUCCCUUAGUAACGGCGAGUGAAGCGGGAAGAGCUCAAAUUUGAAAUCUUCAAGGUUCUACCUUGACGAAUUGUAGUUUAAAGAAGUGUUUUCUGUUAGAUGAGUAGCAAAAGUUCCUUGGAAUGGGACAUCAUAGAGGGUGAGAAUCCCGUAUUUGGUUAUUCAUUCUAGCUUUGUGAUACACUUUCAAAGAGUCGGAUUGUUUGGGAAUGCAGUCCAAAAUGGGUGGUAAAUUUCAUCUAAAGCUAAAUAUUGGCGAGAGACCGAUAGCGAACAAGUACCGUGAGGGAAAGAUGAAAAGAACUUUGAAAAGAGAGUUAGACAGUACGUGAAAUUGUCAAAAGGGAAGCGUUUGACACCAGUGUUGUUUUUCCGAAAAUCAAUUACGAAUGGCUUGAUUUUGUGUUGUAUUGACCUUAUCAGCUUUCUGCACUUUUUUCGAGUCUUUCUUAAUGCACUUUUCGGUUAACAAGUCAACAUCAAUUUCUUUUGUUGUAAAAGAGUAUUCGGAAGGUGGCUUUCUUUUCGGAGAAAGUGUUUAUAGCCCUAUACUUCUACAAUCGGAGAGAUUGAGGUCUGCAGCGUAGAUCCUUCGGGGUUAGAUACACUUGUGCUAAGUUGUAGCUUUUCAUAGACAACUUGUUGACUAUGUUUAGUCAUGCGGCUUACUCGCUUGUGCUAUUUUACCUACGCUUAGGAUGUUGAGCGCAUGUCUCUCUCU
rnacentral:rRNA from 1 species